rnacentral:rRNA from 1 species
AUACGGAGGGUGCAAGCGUUACUCGGAAUCACUGGGCGUCAAGCGCGCGCAGGCGGUCUUUUAAGUUGGAUGUGAAAGCCUACGGCUCAACCGUAGAACUGCAUCCAAAACUAUUAGACUAGAGUGUGGGAGAGGAAGAUGGAAUUAGUUGUGUAGGGGUAAAAUCCGUAGAGAUAAAUAGGAAUACCAAAAGCGAAGGCAAUCUUCUGGAACACUACUGACGCUGAGGCGCGAAAGCGUGGGGAGCAAACAGGAUUAGAAACCCUAGUAGUCC